CCCCCCCCCCCGUCACAGGGCAGAAACCGCCGCUGGUCAGCAGGAAAGUUCUCAGGGGACACAUCGAGAAGAGCAGACAAUUAACCCAGCCCAAAAUGACAAGCUGGAUACGGAGAUGUCACACGUCCAGAGUUUGUAAGCGACUUGCAGCACCCCUGAGAAAAUGAGAUGCUGGUGUAAUUGGUGUCAUUUGUCAUGAAUCCUCUAGGGCGGUGACAUCGCGGCCCAGAGUAUCAACGAUACCUAAUAAAUCUGUUCUUGAGUA